GUGCCAGCAGCUGCGGUAAUACGGAGGGGGUUAGCGUUGUUCGGAAUUACUGGGCGUAAAGCGCGCGUAGGCGGAUAUUAAGUCAGAGGUGAAAUCCCGGGGCUCAACCCCGGAACUGCCUUUGAUACUGGAUGUCUUGAGUUCGAGAGAGGUGAGUGGAAUUCCGAGUGUAGAGGUGAAAUUCGUAGAUAUUCGGAGGAACACCAGUGGCGAAGGCGGCUCACUGGCUCGAUACUGACGCUGAGGUGCGAAAGUGUGGGGAGCAAACAGGAUUAGAUACCCUGGUAGUCCACACCGUAAACGAUGAAUGCCAGUCGUCGGGUAGUAUACUGCUCGGUGACACACCUAACGGAUUAAGCAUUCCGCCUGGGGAGUACGGUCGCAAGAUUAAAACUCAAAGGAAUUGACGGGGCCCGCACAAGCGGUGGAGCAUGUGGUUUAAUUCGAAGCAACGCGCAGAACCUUACCAACCCUUGACAUCCUGGUCGCGGAUUAGAGAGAUCUUUUCCUUCAGUUCGGCUGGACCAGUGAC
rnacentral:rRNA from 1 species